rnacentral:rRNA from 1 species
UAGGGAAUCUUCGGCAAUGGACGAAAGUCUGACCGAGCAACGCCGCGUGAGUGAAGAAGGUUUUCGGAUCGUAAAACUCUGUUGUUAGAGAAGAACAAGGACGUUAGUAACAGAACGUCCCCUGACGGUAUCUAACCAGAAAGCCACGGCUAACUACGUGCCAGCAGCCGCGGUAAUACGUAGGUGGCAAGCGUUGUCCGGAUUUAUUGGGCGUAAAGCGAGCGCAGGCGGUUUCUUAAGUCUGAUGUGAAAGCCCCCGGCUCAACCGGGGAGGGUCAUUGGAAACUGGGAGACUUGAGUGCAGAAGAGGAGGGUGGAAUUCCAUGUGUAGCGGUGAAAUGCGUAGAUAUAUGGAGGAACACCAGUGGCGAAGGCGGCUCUCUGGUCUGUAACUGACGCUGAGGCUCGAAAGCGUGGGGGGCAAACAGG